rnacentral:rRNA from 1 species
CAAAGGGGCAUACCCGACCUGAUCCGAAGUCACAUUAUCAGAAAGUUGGGUGUUUUACGGACGUGGACCCGCCGUGCUCCCGGUGCCAAUUCGACGAACCCUGGGGAGGAACAGGCAAACUCUAUCCGCCUCUGUUUUGGGACGUAUGUCUUACAGCGCUGAGCAAAAAUUCAAAAUGAAUAUAAACUUUCAGCAACGGAUCUCUUGGUUCUGGCAUCGAUGAAGAACGCAGCGAAAUGCGAUAAGUAAUGUGAAUUGCAGAAUUCAGUGAAUCAUCGAAUCUUUGAACGCACAUUGCGCCCGCCAGUAUUCUGGCGGGCCUGCCUGUCCAAACAUUUUCAACCCUUGAACCCCUUCGGGGGACCGGCGUUGGGGAUCGGGACACCUCACACGGGUGCCGGCCCCGAAAUACAGUGGCGGUCUCGCCGCAGCCUCUCCCGCGCAGUAGUUUGCCAACUCGCACCGGGAGCGCGGCGCUUCCACGUCUGUAAAAACCCAACUUUUGGAAUGCUUAUUUCGGAUCAGGUAGGAAUUCCCACUGAACUUAACUUAUCAAUAACGGUGGAUG